rnacentral:rRNA from 1 species
CCAGGACGCCAGUUUUGGCGGAGCCAUCCUUGGGAUACCACCCUUGUAGUACUGGGACUCUAACCAUAGGCCAUGAAUCUGGUCUUGGGACACUGUCAGGUGGGCAGUUUGACUGGGGCGGUCGCCUCCCAAAAGGGAACGGAGGCGCUCAAAGGUUCUCUCAGUACGGUCGGAAAUCGUACGUAGAGUGUAAAGGCAAAAGAGAGCUUGAUUGCAAGACAUACAGGUCGAGCAAGGAUGAAAAUCGGACUUAGUGAUCCGGUGGUUCUGCGUGGAAGGGCCAUCGCUCAACGGAUAAAAGCUACCCU